rnacentral:rRNA from 1 species
CCUACGGGCGGCAGCAGUGGGGAAUAUUGGACAAUGGGGGGAACCCUGAUCCAGUCAUGCCGCGUGUGUGAAGAAGGCCCUCGGGUUGUAAAGCACUUUCAGUGAGGAAGAACGCCUGGUGGUUAAUACCCAUCAGGAAAGACAUCACUCACAGAAGAAGCACCGGCUAACUCCGUGCCAGCAGCCGCGGUAAUACGGAGGGUGCGAGCGUUAAUCGGAAUUACUGGGCGUAAAGCGCGCGUAGGUGGCUUGAUAAGCCGGUUGUGAAAGCCCCGGGCUCAACCUGGGAACGGCAUCCGGAACUGUCAAGCUAGAGUGCAGGAGAGGAAGGUAGAAUUCCCGGUGUAGCGGUGAAAUGCGUAGAGAUCGGGAGGAAUACCAGUGGCGAAGGCGGCCUUCUGGACUGACACUGACACUGAGGUGCGAAAGCGUGGGUAGCAAACAGGAUUAGAUACCCUAGUAGUC